rnacentral:tRNA from 2 species
GGGGCGAUAGCUCAGUUGGGAGAGCGCUACCUUGACAUGGUAGAGGUUUCGCAGGUUCGAUCCCUGUUCGCCCCACCA